UACAGAGGUCUCAAGCGUUGUUCGGAUUCAUUGGGCGUAAAGGGCGCGUAGGCGGCGGGGUAAGUCGGGUGUGAAGUCUCAGAGCUCAACUCUGAAACUGCACUCGAUACUGCUCUGCUUGAGGACUGGAGAGGAGACUGGAAUUCACGGUGUAGCAGUGAAAUGCGUAGAUAUCGUGAGGAAGACCAGUGGCGAAGGCGGGUCUCUGGGACGGUACUGACGCUGAGACGCGAAAGCGUGGGGAGCGAACAGG
rnacentral:rRNA from 1 species